rnacentral:siRNA from 1 species
AUGCAAGUCUCUGUUGAAUCGUCAA